ensembl:lncRNA
GUUGUCUUCACUAUGAGAUGGACGAAUACAUUUUGAAUUUGAUAACAAUUUAAAUUAAACAAAUUAAUUCAAGCCCUCCUUUAGCCAUCGAGUAGGCUAAUCAGCCUAUACAAAGUAAUUUACAUCGUUAGUUUAUUGUCUAUGUUGUACCCCGAAAUCUGCGAUUUACCACUUAAGUAGUGUAACUACGUUGAAAUAGAAGGUUGCCAAGCGCCUGUCUUUGCCCCCAUAUUGGAUCAGGUCCGUGCACCACUACUACGUCACUGACGCCGCCAGUAUAAAUAGCUCCGUGAGGCGCAGCGGCCACAUUGGAGACCAGCGUCCGUGGAGCAGCACACCGCAUCUGGCCAAAUAUUUUCAGAAAUGUCAAAAAUGAUGGGUUUUCAACUUGGAGUGAUACUGUUGUACGCCUUUUGUUUAUCAACACAGGUGGUUUCUCAGUCCACCCCGAUGGCGGAGACCAGCAACUCCACCAUGAACUCCACGAUGGCGACGCACAGCUACACAGGCAGCAGCCCCAACGUGACGGAGGCGACUAAUGACGCUGGCUCCAUGCACGCCGCGGGACUGUCCUCCCUCCUGCCCUCCUUCAUCGUGGCCGCUUCCUUUCUACAGCGCUUCUCUUAAGACCCCGCCCCCGCACCCGCCCCUCCGCGCCCACCCCCAUCACCACUAGCACCGCAAACCACCACCCCCCAUCAGCACCGCCCACAAACACACACACACGCACACACACAGCCACACGCGAUGACCAUGGCGAACCACCCCUCCUCCCCAGCCCCCUCACCAAACACAUACACACACACACGCACACACACACACACACACCCUCCCCCGCAAAGACCAUGAAGACCACCACGCAGGCGCCACGAUGGACUCUGGAAUCGGUGACACCUUUCCUUUGCUGUUGAAAAAAAAGAGAAGGUUGGUGUUAUCAGUACAGACUGCUGUUUGUAUCUGAAGACCGGAGGCAGUGGCACCCAACGGAGACCGUCAACGACAACACCCCCCCAACCUACCCGACCAGUCCCGGCCCGGGCGACGGCACCCCCCCCCCCCUCCAAGCGACUCUAUUGACAUAGAGUGUUUCCAUGGCAACGCCAUCCCCUUUUCUGAGAUGCUCAUGGCUCUGGGUUUUCUAUCCCCAUGUCUCGAUUCUUAAACGAAAAGAGGAAGUGGAACUUUUGGGAUUUUCCUGUCCACAAGUUUGUUUUAGUGGGGUUGUUUCAUUCUUUCAAUGUCGUUUUUAAUUUAAGCGAUGCACAUCCAACUGGUUUUGUAUGCAAAGUAAAGUUGAAUACAUUAAAUAAACACUCACACACACCUGCAGACACACACACACACACACACACACACACACACACACACACACACACACACACACACACACACACACACACACACACACACACACACACACACACACACACACACACACACAGACACACACACCUGGGGCACCUUUGGUGUUGGGUAUUUGUUAUUUGGCUUAUGGAUUAUAACUCUUACAAUUUGAACGCAAGCACUCUCUAACAAUUUAAGAUGCCACAGGAUUCAUAUCAUUUUUUGCCCUUGUGAUUUCUAAAGAGUUUUCUGGUAAUUAUACAUGAAGGGGAUACGACUGACCCACUCCCUCCCUUCAGUGCAAUGGGAACUGUACCCCAUAGCAAGAACAACUGUGAGGCUAUGGGAAGGGUUGAUGAUGUGGGAUUUGUAAACCCUUAUAAACCUCCCAAUACUAAUAGUUUAUAUUUUGUAUAAAUGAAAAUGUUAUAAUAUUUGUUUGUUUGAGUUACGUAACGGAAGAAAUUAUGAUGUACAAUAAACUCUAUAAAAUGUUAUAUUUACAAGCUUCUCUUAAUUCUUGUUCUGUUAUCUUAUUUGCAUGAUAGUUGUUCAGUACAUUGAGGUGCGUCGUAAUGCCGUCCCAAUAUAUUGAUCCAAUAAUGUCUAUAUCAAUGGUUUGGUCCAUUCUUCAUAUUCAUAUAUUGUGCAAAGGCAGAACGGGUCAUGUGGAUGGGAUGGUGAUGUUGAUAAAGUAGGCCUUUUAUUUCAGUCACAACGGUCAGUGAGAUCAGAUAAAGGUUGUGAGAUUUCCUUACUUUAUUGCUGAUCUUUAAUCC